CAAGAGUAAGCUAUGUGAGGUUGGCGGCGAUGCUUAAAAAAGCAAUCGACUUACAAGGGUGUGAAAAAGGGCUCGAUAUUAAAUCGAGAAAAGUAUGAUUUUUAUAAGUUAAAAAAUGGUUUCGAAUGCAUGAUGGAUUAAAAAAAACAUGGACAUAAGAAAUAUUAAAAGAAACAAAAUGCUGAAAGACAAUAAAACACUAAAAAAUAAAAUGCUGAAAGAAAAGAAAAUGAAAUACUAAAAGAAAAAGAAAUACUAAAAAAGUGCUACAUACAAGUGUUGAACCCACUCCUCUAAAGACUUAGAACCUACACUCUCUCCACUAGACUGCCUACAAUUAAUUAUUAUUUAAGUAACAACAUAAAUAUAUAAACCAUACUAGAUUGAAAAAA
rnacentral:lncRNA from 1 species